rnacentral:rRNA from 1 species
UGAACUGGGNGACUAGAGUGUGUCAGAGGGAGGUAGAAUNCCACGUGUAGCAGUGAAAUGCGUAGAGAUGUGGAGGAAUACCGAUGGNGAAGGCAGCCUCCUGGGAUAACACUGACGUUCAUGCCCGAAAGCGUGGGUAGCAAACAGGAUUAGAUACCCUGGUAGUNCACGCCCUAAACGAUGUCGAUUAGCUGUUGGGCAGCAUGACUGCUUAGUAGCGAAGCUAACGCGUGAAAUCGACCGCCUGGGGAGUACGGUCGCAAGAUUAAAACUCAAAGGAAUUGACGGGGACCCGCACAAGCGGUGGAUGAUGUGGAUUAAUUCGAUGCAACGCGAAGAACCUUACCUGGUCUUGACAUGUACGGAACCCUCCAGAGACGGAGGAGUGCCUUCGGGAGCCGUAACACAGGUGCUGCAUGGCUGUCGUCAGCUCGUGUCGUGAGAUGUUGGGUUAAGUCCCGCAACGAGCGCAACCCUUGUCAUUAGUUGCCAUCAUUAAGUUGGGCACUCUAAUGAGACUGCCGGUGACAAGCCGGAGGAAGGUGGGGAUGACGUCAAGUCCUCAUGGCCCUUAUGACCAGGGCUUCACACGUCAUACAAUGGUCGGUACAGAGGGUAGCCAAGCCGCGAGGCGGAGCCAAUCUCACAAAACUGAUCGUAGUCCGGAUUGCACUCUGCAACUCGAGUGCAUGAAGUCGGAAUCGCUAGUAAUCGCAGGUCAGCAUACUGCGGUGAAUACGUUCCCGGGUCUUGUACACACCGC